GCGAACGCUGGCGGCAUGCCUAACACAUGCAAGUCUGACGGGCGGGGGGCAACCUCUGUCAGUGGCGGACGGGUGAGGAACGCGUAGGAACGUAUCCAAGGGUGGGGGACGAACCGCGGGAACGUGCGGCUAAUACCGCAUGGGGCCGUUUAGGGAGGACCUGAAAGGGGGAGGACCUCGGGGGCCGAAAGGCGUGGGGAGGACCUAGUCGCCUGUGGAGCGGCCUGCGUCCGAUUAGCUAGUUGGUGGGGUGACGGCUUACCAAGGCAGCGAUCGGUAGCUGGUCUGAGAGGAUGAUCAGCCACACUGGGACUGAGACACGGCCCAGACUCCUACGGAGGCAGCAGUGGGGAGUAUUGGACAAUGGGCGAAAGCCUGAUCCAGCAAUGCCGCGGU
rnacentral:rRNA from 1 species